rnacentral:lncRNA from 1 species
GAGGAAACGAAAGCGAGAUGCAAAUUGUGGGAGGUGAAAGAGGCAAAACAUGCCUGAGGCCUUCCUCUUACAGCGGCUUUACCUCUUCUUAUCCCCCCCAGGAGGACGCUGGAGCUGGUGGGCAGGGGCAGCUCUGGGUCACGGCUCUGUUUGGGACCCUGGGGCAGCUUCACCAAGGUGCACCACUAUCCUCCUAGCUGAGCAGCACCCCAACCCAUGGAAGGAAAAUAGAGCUCCUGUCCUGAGGAAAACCUUCUCUCCAAGAAUCAAGCUCUUUCUCCUCCUGGACCUCCCAGUGCUUAUCCAAGGGCCCAGGGCCCAGGUGAGGGAUGUUUUGAGUCCUGUGGGACCAUCAGCAUCUAACUGCUGCAUGGAUGGAUGCUCCUGUGCCGUGGCACUGCUAACGAGCUGGCAACCUGUUUGAUCACUGCUGUGACCAGAAGGUGGGGAAAAAGGCACGCUGAUCUUAUAGUUCAGACUGUACUGCAUAUGAAUAUGGCCAAGGUACUGUACGUAUCAGAAAUGUCACUACAUAAUAAAGGUGUGCUGAAUCCUGUACCCCUGGGUGGGAAAGUGUUGGGGGAGAUGUGUAUGGGCAGGGGUGAGCAGGAUGCUGGAGAGCAGGGUGCUGGAGAACAUCGAGUGCUGCUUGGUCCCAGCACAAGGUGCUGAGGCAGAACAAGGGUGGUGGGGGCAACACUGUGGGAGCACUGCAGAGGAAGGCAGGCAGGCCAGCGUAAGGACCCCUUCAUGGAGAGAACCAGGAGCACACUGGCCCAGCUGCGCUCCCCCUCACUAAGGUCAACCACUGAGUUUGAUGUACCAGCCUCUCUAUUUCUUUUCCCUGCCUUCCUAGGGAAUGGGAAAGAUUUGGGCUCGACCAGGAGAUGUCUCUGUUAAGCCGUGUCAAGCUGAGCAGGACUGUGCUGAGAAAGCCCAGAUCUUCAGCAAGCCAGGGGCUGCUGCUGGUGGGGGAACCCUCCCUUCAAUCCACACCACCUCUGCCUCCCCAAAACCUCAAAUUUAGCAGCCCAGAGAGAACAGCACCUUGUUACAAUCCUGUGGGAGCUAUCAAAAUGCUGUUUCCAUUUGCAAAAGCUUGGGCAGAGGUAGAGGUUUGCCUGGCUGCCAAGGCGGGCUGCAGCAGCUCUGGCCUGGAAAGCACCUUUUCCCUGCACUCUGCCCAUUGCCAUGUCCUCCUUGGCGAGGAGGAGACCUUAUUCUUCAUCAAGCUGUUUCUGGCUCCCUGCCUCAGUGCCUAAUUUGCCUGAAUGGGUGGGAGUAGAGGGUGUUUAGUAGCAUGAAAGCAGGUGGGAGUUUUAAUCUGCUACAGAUUAGUAGGCAGUGCAAUUACAGAGACGGUUCUUGGGGGUGUCCCGCCUCCAAAAUGUGGCUCAGGUGAGAUAAGCAGAGAAGAGGAAUUAUUCUAUUUCUCCAGCUAUAUUAAUGCAAGCUGACCAGAGCCAUGGCUCCCAACCCCAUUAACCUCACUACUCUUUUUGUGCUCUCAGCAAUUUGAAGGGAGAGGGUCAAAAAGUCUAUUGCUGUGAUGCACUUCUAGCUUGGGCACUUGGGUUGUGCUAGGCAUCCAAAUUCAGGAUGUUGGAUUGAAGAAAACCAAUUUUGUGUGCCUGAUGCCCCAAAUACCUGGCUUGGACAGCUUUUUGGCCCUGUUUUUUUUUUUUUUUUUUUUUUUUUUUUUUUUUUUUUGGAGCUGGUUUUGCUACAGGAGGGCUGCAAGCUCCCCUGUUACAGUGUAUGGCAGAUGUGGCUACUGGUGCUGGUUGGCUAUACCCUCAUUGCCAAAUAUCAUUAGAUCCAAAUAUCCUCAAAUAUCAUUAGAGAAGCCACUUGGUGAGACAGUCAAAACCCUCAUUUUGAACCAUCUGGGAAUCCAAACUCAUGUAUUUUCAGAUUACAAAAUAUCCCUGCAGAAGGCAUCACUAUCUUUAUCCAUGAUGGGCUGCAGGGAUGCUCUUGCUUCUGGGACCUUAUUUUGGGGAUGAAACAUGGGAUGCUGCAGUCCUUGGCCGCAUGCUGCCUGGGGCUGGGCUCACUCACGGGUGGAGACGCUGUCGGAGGCAGGGGGGCUCCUGGCUUGGUCCUUGAGGGCCACCACGGUGACGGUGUACUCCUCACCCGGCUUCAGCCCCGUCUGGUUGAAGGUGGUGACGGUGCUGGGGAGCUGGGCGAUCACACCGCCCUCGUUGUUCUGCCAGGGGACGGGGUGAGAAAAAGCAUCGAGAAUGAGAAAUGGGUUAAAACACACACACACACACAAAGCUUUUUAAGGAUGAAUACAGGCGGGUUCCACACAUCCAGUCCUAUACCCCUCACACUGAUAUGUCCCACCAUGGAGAUGUAGAGCCUGGGGUGAAGUCACCCACGAAGUGUGAAGCACCCAAGAUUUUAGGCUGAGAAAUCCUUCCCCAUCCCCUUUUUCUCUUCCUCCUCCUAGCCCCCCCCCCCCCAACCUCUUCCCCCUCCUUUCUGUACUUUGCCAUCUGUAUAUCUGCUGUUCCCCAGAACAUGAAAAGAUAAUAAAAAACAAACCCUGCACUCCUUUUGCCUGCAUGGCUGUUAUUCAGGUGCCAGGAGCUUUCAGCAUUUCAUACAGGGAUGAAACCGUAACAUCUUUAUUUUGGCACCCUGUCCUUUUUAAGUAUAUUGAUUAAAUUUGCUAUACUUUGUGUUUUGUGCUCUGAAAAACCCAAGUCUUUUAAGUAACUGCAAAUGUCACCUUCCCUGCCAGUGUUUGGACAAUGGAUCUUUUCUUGCUGCUGUCUUCACCAAUGAUGCACUAAACAAAUCUCUGCACAUAGCUCUCAAUUCAUAUUAAUCUAUUUUUCUCAUUAAACAGGAAAUCUUCCAUUUUAUCCAUAAAUUGCCAUCUUACCUUUCCUAAUUUUCUUGUCUAAAUCUGUCAUCACUUCUGCUUUUCACUGAUCACCAUGCAGAGCUGGUCUCAUUACCCCAGAUAUCUCUGCGUUGGUUUUAGUUCCCAUUUCUUCCCCCAGUACAAGCAGCAGAUGUGCAAUCCCCACCUGAGACAGUUUUUGGGGACCAAUAGCAAUGUGGGGGUGCAGAAAGUGGCUUGCUCAGGGGGAGGGUGUGCACACCCCUGUGGGGCCACCAAGGACAAAAUUAGUGUCCUCACACCCUGUUUUUGGAAAGGCAGAUUGACCUCGAUUUGCAAGCCCACAGCAUAGGGGUUAUUUAUAACAACACUGCUUUACUGAUGUU